CCUACGGGGGGCUGCAGUGGGGAAUAUUGGACAAUGGGGGGAACCCUGAUCCAGCCAUGCCGCGUGUGUGAAGAAGGCCCUCGGGUUGUAAAGCACUUUCAGUGAGGAAGAACGCCUGGUGGUUAAUACCCAUCAGGAAAGACAUCACUCACAGAAGAAGCACCGGCUAACUCCGUGCCAGCAGCCGCGGUAAUACGGAGGGUGCGAGCGUUAAUCGGAAUUACUGGGCGUAAAGCGCGCGUAGGUGGCUUGAUAAGCCGGUUGUGAAAGCCCCGGGCUCAACCUGGGAACGGCAUCCGGAACUGUCAAGCUAGAGUGCAGGAGAGGAAGGUAGACUUCCCGGUGUAGCGGUGAAAUGCGUAGAGAUCGGGAGGAAUACCAGUGGCGAAGGCGGCCUUCUGGACUGACACUGACACUGAGGUGCGAAAGCGUGGGUAGCAAACAGGAUUAGAUACCCGAGUAGUC
rnacentral:rRNA from 1 species